CUGGUGAAAUUCCUCUGCAGAAUCAUUUUUUCAAGACCUAGGGCCCCAGAAGAAGUGUUCCACGGGAAUCCACAGGGCUGUGGGAACGCAGGAGUCAGCACCUGCAGUGAACAUAUAGAUUCUGGGCACCUGCAGCUACCACACCGAAGAAACCAGAGGUCAGAGAAGAGUAGGAGGGUCUGGCUGCCUGUGCAGGGCAGGGCCUGCCCACGUGAGACUCCUAAUAAGGAACAAUCAGGCCAACUCAUCCCUCUUCCCAAACCAGCAUCCAAGCUGGCUUAUGACACUUUGCUUAGGCAGCUUUUCCUGCAGUUUCAAUUACCUAAGAAAUUUAUCAGAUAUUACCAGUGGCAACAUAGGAGACUUCAGCAAUUUUCAUUAGUUUCCUUCUAUUUUUCUCUGGGUUCCAUUAGUUUUAAACUUUUAUCAGUUGUUAAUUAAUAAGCGGCUUCAUACACUGCUGUGUCAUCGGAUGGAUUCAUAGCUCAGACUAAAAAAGUUAUGCUUAAGUCAGCCCUGCCAGACGCACUGAGAAGGAGGUAGUGAGGCGGUUUUUGUCAGUGUCCGUGAGAUUCCACAGGAGUCAGGACCAAUUACCAGGGUGCUGCUGAGAGCAGGAUGGUUUGCAGGAAGGAUGCCACACAGCACAGUCUCUUGAACGUGACGGAGGUCAUUUGCCAGGUGCAAGGAACUUCUGCACCAUUUUGAAAGAUGUGCCAUGGAAUUUGAGAACUCAAAAGGGGACACGGAACUUUCUGAUUCUCUGAUUCAACUUCCUCAUUGUGCAGGGAGAAAAUUGGAGGUGCUGAAGAGAGUGGGUGGGUGAAGGUAAAAACUCAAUCUUGGCCAUUGUAUAACAUUUAAAUACAAAUGCUUACACCUAA